CUCGUAGGUGGCCAACUAAGUCAUACGUGAAAUCCCUCGGCUUAACCGGGGAACUGCGUCUGAUACUGGAUGGCUUGAGGUUGGGAGAGGGAUGCGGAAUUCCAGGUGUAGCGGUGAAAUGCGUAGAUAUCUGGAGGAACAUCGGUGGCGAAGGCGGCAUCCUGGACCAAUUCUGACACUGAGGAGCGAAAGCCAGGGAGCAAACG
rnacentral:rRNA from 1 species